CCUACGGGUGGCUGCAGUAGGGAAUCUUCCACAAUGGACGCAAGUCUGAUGGAGCAACGCCGCGUGAGUGAAGAAGGGUUUCGGCUCGUAAAGCUCUGUUGUUGGUGAAGAAGGACAGGGGUAGUAACUGACCUUUGUUUGACGGUAAUCAAUUAGAAAGUCACGGCUAACUACGUGCCAGCAGCCGCGGUAAUACGUAGGUGGCAAGCGUUGUCCGGAUUUAUUGGGCGUAAAGCGAGUGCAGGCGGCUCGAUAAGUCUGAUGUGAAAGCCUUCGGCUCAACCGGAGAAUUGCAUCAGAAACUGUCGAGCUUGAGUACAGAAGAGGAGAGUGGAACUCCAUGUGUAGCGGUGAAAUGCGUAGAUAUAUGGAAGAACACCGGUGGCGAAGGCGGCUCUCUGGUCUGUUACUGACGCUGAGGCUCGAAAGCAUGGGUAGCGAACAGGAUUAGAUACCCUAGUAGU
rnacentral:rRNA from 1 species